rnacentral:lncRNA from 1 species
CUGCUCUGACUUGUAAAUUACAUCUUCUGCGCGGUGCUGGCACUUUCGAGAUGGGUCUGAAAGCGCUGCAACGUGGCUGUGAUCUGGAAAAGCAAGAGGAGCUGAGCGAACCAACAGAACUCGUCGACACAGCGUUUCCUUGCAUUGUGAUGAUCUAAAGACGCUUAUCUCUUCAGGUUGUUUUGGAUGCACUUGAGUUCAAUACUUUCCUGUUGCAAAUCUCGAGU